GAACGAACGCUGGCGGCGUGGAUAAGACAUGCAAGUUGAACGCUAAUUUCGGUGUAGCAAUACAUCGGAGUUGGAGUAGCGCAAGGGUGCGUAACACGUGGGUAAUUUGCCGUGAAGUUGGGGAUAACUCGCUGAAAGGCGAGCUAAUACCGAAUGUGAAGUUUGGGUGGCAUCACCUGACCUUUAAAGCUGGGGAUCGUAAGACCUGGCGCUUUAUGAUAAGCCCGCGGCCUAUCAGCUAGUUGGUGAGGUAACGGCUCACCAAGGCUAAGACGGGUAGCUGGUCUGACGAGGACGACCAGCCACACUGGAACUGAGACACGGUCCAGACACC
rnacentral:rRNA from 1 species